GACCAGCCUGGCCAACAUAGCGUAAACCCUAUCUCUACUAAAAAUACAAAAAUUAGACCAGUGUGGUGGCAGGCACCUGUGGUCCCAGCGACUUGUAUGAGGCAGGCUCAUGGCUUGAACCCGAGAGACAGAGGCAGAGGUUGCAGUGAGCUGAAAUUGGGCCACUGCUCUCCAACCUGGGUGACAGAGUGAUACUCUGCCUCAAAAACAAAACCAAACAAAAAAAAACAAAACAAACAAAAAAAACCUAAUUAUUAAAACUUACUAAAUUUUAUUUGUGUACCAUUUAUAGUCAUCUCAUGUAUCAUACUUGAGGACUGGUGCCCUAGCAUAGCCUUGCACAUUUUCACAUUUAGUCAUUAUUUGUUUAAUUGUUGGGGAGAGGGAAUAAGAUUCAUGCACUUAGUGUGUCAAGUGUUGUUUUCAAUAGUUUAUAUAUGGUUUCUCUUAAUCCCUAUUACUACCAAAUGAGAAAGAUGUAUUCAUUUUAUACAUAAGAAAAGUGAGGCUCAGAAAGGCUAAGUGACUUUUCUAAGGUCAAAUAGUUUGGCAAAAAUUAGAGCUGAGAUAUGAACCUAGGUUUAUCUGAUUUCAAAGCCUGUACUGUUUUUGCUACAUAUUGUGGACUCUCAGUAAUUAGUGGGUUAACCUUAUGCAUUACUGUCUGCUUUCCUGUUGUUAUUCCUCUGUGGUUAGACGAGAGUGGACGCUGAAUGGUAUUUACAGUUUGUAAUUUUCUUCUGGAAUUGCAUUUUGCAUGGUCUUGAAAGUUGUCCUUACCACCUACUUUUCAAGGUUUGUAUGAAAGGAAGCCUCUUAGCUCUACUGCGAGGAAUAUGCUUGCUUUGGAUUUUUAAAAAGUGUUGCUAAUGAAGAGUUUAGACAUAUAUUAAGCUUCUUAUUUAAGUUAGAGGUAGCUUCUCUCUCUCUACCUGUUUUUCAUUUUAUGUAGCCUAGAUCAUAUUAUGCUUCAGAGAUAAAGCCUGGAGAUAAUUUGAUUCUUAUCCAAAAUGAGUCCCAUUUUCAGCAUAUCCAUAUGCUCAUCUAACCAUUGCUUGAUUACCUCCAAUUAUGGAGUCUCACUGUCUCCUCUUUAACUAUUACUAAAAAAUGAAAGCCUCGAUAGCCAUAGUCUUUCAAUAGUAAUAUCCUACUACUUAAAAGUUGCAAGGUGGCCUAAUGUUUGCUUAUUCAAUUUAUUUAUUUUGGUGGUAGAAAAUAGAAAAAGUUGUAAAAAUAUUGUUUGCCUUUUGAUAAAUUCAGGAAACUUUUUCUAUUUCCCCUUAAAUCAUUUGGUUUCCAUCUCAGAUAAUCAUUAGGGUUUCAUUCUCAUUCAGCUGGGUAGCAUACCCAGAGAUUGUUAAACAAUCUCUUACACUGAUGGAUGGUUUAAUAUUUUGAAGAUAGCACACUGUAGCACUUUUAAGAGAAUAAUCAGGACUGGCAUGUGAGAGCUGUGAAUUGCUUGAGUUCAAAAUCAGAGCUAGUGUAAAUGCAGUUUUGCGUAACUUCUCUUCGGCUGCCAACUGACCAUUUUAUACUUCUUUUCUAUCACCCGAUUGUAUUUUUCUUGGUUUCCUGUUUGACUUAUUUUCCAAAUUCACUUUAAUCUCCGAAAUUAUGGAAAUAAGGAAAUAGAGGAACUGUAUUUCUUCCUUUCUGAGUGCCUGAGUCUCAUCUGGAUACUCUGGUUUUAAACAUGAAGGGGCUGUAAAUCCUAGGAACACAAUGUCUUUUGAGGACUGGAACUAGUAUGUCUUCAGAACUGACUUCAAAUAGUUUAUUUCCACCCCAUUGAUCUGGCCUAUAUAUGUUGCUUUUUAUUAUAUAGUGUAUACUGUAGGGAUAGGAAGAGGCUGCAGUUUUACUAUUACCUCAUAAAAUUAAUUGGUGCCUAAAACAAAUAUUAUUAAAGAUAACUGCAUUUUAUAACAUACCAACAUGAUAGAUACAGCUUCUGUAGGGAGGUUUUUUUUGUGUGUGUGUUUAUGUCAAUAAACUCAUAAAAUCUGCAGAAUGAAAUUAGUCAUAAUCUCAUUUUUACUAUCAAAAGGUGAAGUUGUUCAGAAGUGUGACCACAUAGUUCCCCAUAAUGGCACAAACAAUUAAAUAAUUUAAAAUAUCUCCAUAACACAGGGUUUUGCUCAUAUCAAGAAAUAAUCACCACCCCUUCCCUGCUGAAUGUAAGGAGCUUAGCUUUAUUGAAGUCAAAAAAUCUAGUGCAGUGCUUUGUCAGUUAGUGAAUAUUUUGAGCUUCUUUAUUUUCCCUGUUGUUUUUUUUUACACAAAUGUGUGAAAUGUUGGUCUCACAAGAAAAUCAGACUAUAUUUGGUCUUGUAAAAUGUAACUCCAUUGUCCCCAUGCUAGACUGGAUUUCUUUUUAAUGUGCUGUUUUCCUCAACCCAACCUUUCUAUGGGGAAGAGUAAUAAGUUUAUUGUCAGUAUUGUGAAUAUUUUAAUUGAAGAUAAACAAGUUUUCUUUUUAAAUGUCUUCAGUAUUACAUAUCUUCAGUUUUAUUAUCCUAAUUUUAGUAGAUUGGCAAAGCCUGAUAAUCUUAACAGCCCUAACCUGAUUCAGCAUUCAUUACUGCUGCUAAAUCAAAUAAGACUUGGCUAAUAGAAACAUGGCUUGUGCAGCCAUUCUUCAAUUUAAUUAGAAUAUUAUACAUUGCAUUGCACUUAUAUGUGUAUACCAGAGACAGAACUUUAUAAUCAGUUUGGAAGCACUCAUGCUACAUCCUCUAUCUAGAGACAUUUAUCAUUUCUUGUGAAAACUCUAAAUUAUUAAAUAUCACAUCUUUAAGGGGUGAAGAUGGGGCUAGCUCACUUAAUGUGCCAUCAGAGGUUAGGAAUUUAGGUCUCAUUCUGCUAUAGCAGAGAUUGGCGAACUUCUUCUGUAAAGGGCAAGGUAGUAAAUGUGUUAGGCUUUGUGGGCCAUAUGGUCUCUUUCACAACUACUCAGCUCUGCUGUUGCAGUGUGAAAGCUGCUGUAGACAAUAUGUAAACAAAUGAACAUAGAUGAACCAAUAAAACUUUAUUUACAAACACUGAAAUUGAAUUUUAUAUAAUUUGCAUGUGCUGUGAUAUAUUCUUAAGAAUUUUUUUAACCAUUGACAAAUGUAAAAGUAUUCCUAAAUUCUAGGCUCUACAAAAGCACAAGGUGAGCUGGAUUUGGAUCACAGGCCUUAGUUUGCUGACCCCUAUUCUGUAGUUUUUCCUUUCUUACUGUAUUUUAAUUUUCUUAUUCAUAUAUUUAUGUACUUAUUUACUUAUACUUCUUUGAUUAUUUGUUUGCUCUGUAUCCAUGCAGCUUUCCAUAGUGUAGGAAAUGUGGGUGGAAUGAAUUUUCCUGUCAUUCUCUUAUCUACUAGUCUCUGCUUGAUGUAGCAAAGGAGAAUCAGGUGUUCAACCUCCAAUGAGAGUAAUUUCUGAUAUCAGUUGGUAGUUGCUGUUUAAUUCUCAAGGUUCAGACAAGGCGGCAGAAUUGACUUAUCUCAUUUUCACAUUCUGGGAGAUGAUCUGUUAGUCCUGAGGAUGCUGUCAGUUUCCUGGUAUUACUCUCCCUGCGUGGUCAUUAACAACAGCAGAGUCCAUAAAUUGAUCCCAGGUUUGAAUUGUAAGUUGUUGGCCCUGAAAACUUGGUGAACAAACUUGCUGUCAGUGUCCCUAUUGACAGAAGUAGUCUGAGGUCAGCUUCAUUACUGCACCCUGACUGUCUCAUACAUUGUCAGUUGAUUUUUAGGUUGUGUGCAAGAGGGUUCUUGUUUCAGACACUUGCUACCAGACAUAUUCACCUCAAAUAUUUACAGUACAAUGAAUCAUUCAAACAUAAGGUUGGCAGUGUCUUUUUUAAAUAGCAUUCAUGAAGGACUGGGUUAAUUCAUCAGACACAGAUUUUGAGAAAUUUUUUCCUCUUAAAGCAAAAGUUCAAUGUGCUAAUCAGUGGCAACUCUGUCAUCUGACACUAUAGAUACUUGUCUCUUUGUCAUUGAAGCUUGCCACUGGUAUCUUUUGCAAGAGUAGACAUGUUCUUAUCUAUGAAGUAUUUUCUAGAUUCACUUAGAAAAAAAUAAAGUGAGAAUACUAGUUUCUUUUUUGAAUAAUAGAACUUAAAGUUGGAUCGAGGUAUAUGAGUUAUUACUAUUGCCCAUUUCCUAGAAUUAUUUAUUAAGUAGGGGAUUUUACUCAUUGUCAAAUUUGUAAUUUUAGCUAAGUUCUGAAUAAAUCACCUUGUGAUUUCUUGCAAACAUUUUCAGUCCUUGUUUUGCGUUACCAUGGAAGGAAAUUUAACAAAAGUACUUGCUCUAACUCCUGGGUAUUUUUAAUUAUUCAUUUAUUUUUGGUCCUGUGGUUUCUCUCUAUGAGGUGAUUGGAACACACCAGACCUCUCAGAAGUGUUCUACUAUUUCCCUCCUCAGUAAGCAAAUUAUUUGCAAGUGACUUGAAAAUAACUUCAAGUAUUGGAGAGCUUUCUUCACAACCACCCUUGCCAAUGUUUUAGGUGGUACACAAAGUUCUGUAGGUCAGCUUGAAAUCAUAAUGCUUGCAAGGAAAAAAAAUUAAAAUUGACUUCAAAGGACAACUCUGACACGGUCAAUUAAUAAUUAAAACAGUUUUUUAAUGAGCUAUGCAAUUACCUGUAUGUCCCUGGAGAUGAUGGUUUAUGGUAUUAUUGCAGUGCCCUUUCUUUAGUCAUGGCGCAUGACAUUUGUAAUUUAAAGCCGGCUAGACAUUAAAGUGACAGAACUUUCAUUAACCUUGUCUAAAGUUUGCUGAUGACAAAUGACUUAUAAAACAUGCUGUUGUCAAAAUAUACCACAUAUUUAAGUACCUUAAAAGUCCUGUGGUCUCUGAGAAGCUAUAGAGACUCAGAGAGAGACCAGGGCCACCAGUGUCCUGUGGAAUUACUUGACAGAAUCCCCGGUGUCUGGCAUUAUUUCUUUGUACUCAGGUAAGUGGUAUCUGCUUCAGACAAGAGCGUAAUGUACUUUUCAUGGCUCUGUGGUUCAGGUAGGUUUCUCAUGGGUUUUUAUGCCACAUGACAUGAUUCUCUCAAUCAGUGAUUUAUGACUAUUGAAUAGUUUCUUCUAAAUAUGCUUUGGUAUAUAAACUUUCAAGUCUUUAGAAGCAGUUUUUUCAAUUUGAAACCAUUUAGCAAUUAUGUUUUGAUUUUAGCUUUUCUUGUAUCUUGGCUUUCUAAAUUCUUAGCCCUCUGUUUGUGCUAUGCCAUACCUCUGUUUUUAUUGUUUUCUUCCUCUUAUUUGAAAUUUUCGUUUUUUUAUACACACUAUGUAAAACAUCCUCUAAUUUUUUAAGAUUUUUCUCAUCAUAUUUAUUUUAGAGGAAUAUCUUGCAAUGCUAUCAAGGGAGAUAUUGCAGGUGGAUAUCUUUUUAUAAUUAUAACAGUAAUAAAUAUAUAGUAAUUAACAUUAAUGUGCAGGUAUUUUUUGCCAGGUAUUAAGCUAAGAGUUCUAUCUCAUUUAAUCCUCGUGGUAGCCAGAGCUUAUAGCACUGUUUCCCCGUUUACAAAUUUGGAAACUGAAGUACAAAAAGAUUAAGUACUUGCUUACUGUCUCACAGCUUGUAGGUAACCAGGAUUCAAAUUCUGACUGACACCAAAGAUAUUAUUAGUAACCACUAAGCAACAUGGCCUCUCAACUUAUUUUUGUUUUUUCAGAGUAAAUUAUAAGUUUGUUGUCUGGAAAGAUAAAGUAUAGCAAACUUAUAAUUUAUUUAUUAUUUAAUAAUUAUAACCACCUUUAAUAAUUAAAUAGAAUUGCUAUCGUCCUGUUCAUGCUAUGGAAUAUACCAAUAAAUAUAUGCUGGAUAACAUAUCAGCAAAUAUGAAUUUAAUAUUAUAAGCAAAAGUUGAGUUUAUGUCUUAUUCAAGAGACUUGUUAAGAGAAAUUAUAACUACCUUUUAACUCAAGUGGCAUAUAAUAGGUAUUUCAUAAGUAUUUGGUAUUAGUAUUAUUAUUAGCAUACUCCCUGCAUGUAAUAUAUCUUGAUUCUUUCUUUCAUGAGUCUGUGUUUCAUGAUUGGUUCCAUUAUAGAGACUACAACUUCAACAACACAUUGUUUUAUCUGGUUAAUGUCCAUACAUUUCUUAAACACUAUGUAAGUAUUAUACAUUACAAAAUAUUAAAUACUUUCAUUUUAUCAAAUACAUUCCUGUGUUCAUAUUGCUGAAUAGUAGUCUGGAUUUCUACCUACUGAUCUCUUAACUAUUUUUUGGUUGAAGUAUAACACCAGGGAGGUAGACAUAGUAUAAAUGUAUAGCUCAGUAAAUUGUCACAAAAUAAACACCUGAGUAACCAUUACCGAGGUCAAGAACUUUGCCAGUAGCACUCCAGAAGCCUUCCUCAUGGCCUCUCAAAAUUACUACUCUUCCUUCCUCCCCAGUGAUAACCAAGAUUUGAACUUUAAUGCCAUAGUUUUGCAUUUUCUUUGUUUGCUUUCGCUUUUGACAUUUUUUAAAUUUCUUAUUGUUGAAAAUGUCAAACAUACAAAAGUAGAGGGCAUAGUGUAUUGAAUAUCAUGUUCUUAUCACUCUACUUCAACAAUUAUUAACUCAUGACCAAUGUUAGUUCACCUGUAAUCUCAUCCACUCUCCCUACCAUGGAUCAUUUUAAAGGAAAUUAUAAACAUUGUAUUACCUCUCCAUAAUUUUUUCAGUAUAUAUCUCUAAAAGUCAGGGUUUCUUUUUUAAAAAGAUAACCAUAAUAAUAUCUUCUUACCUAAAUACUAUCAUACCAACAAUAUCCAGCCAGUAUUAAAAUUCUAUAAUUGCCUUAUAUUAUUACUUUGAAAAAAAAAAAACCUUCUUAUUUGUUGAAUCAAGAGCCAAAUAAAAUCCAUGAGUUAUAACUACUUGAUUUGUAUGCCAAGUGCUUUUUAAUCUAUAGCUCCUUCAUCCCUUUUUUCUCCCUUGAAGUUUAAGAAACUGGACUGCUUGACCCACAGUUGCCUACAGUCUGAUUUUGCUUAUUAUAUCUUCCUGAUGUUGUUUAACAUGUUAAAAAAAAUUUUUUUUGAUUUCUUGUUAGUCAAAUAAGAAGUGUAUCAGAUGCAAGCUUACUUUUCUUUUUGAGGGGAUGGGAGGGUAUAAAGGGCAAGAAUACUUCAUAGGUGGGUACAUAAUGUCUGUACCUUUUUGUAUGCAUGUGAUGUCAGUAACCAUUUGACAACCAAGAUUUAUUCUUUCAGUGAAGGCCAUAAAAUGGUGAGGAUCUAUCUUAUUGCCAUUCCUUCAUAAAGAGGAACUUCCCCUUAUUAUUUAACUUAAGGUGCAGUAUAUAUACGAAUGGCAAGAUAAAUGACUGAUUCUUUACCUUUAUUUACCAAUUUUCAAAAUAAUUAGUUGGUUCUCUAGCACCCUUCAAAGGUAAUCAUGAAAGUUUUGUUUUGCUUUAGUAUUAUUUUGAAUUUAUAGGGUUAAACAUACUAUGCUUCAAUCCAUUCAAUAAUUAUUCUUAUUGAUGCUCAAAUUAUCCUGUUUUUGGCCAGUGGAAGACUCUUUUACUAUGACCCCAGAAUCUUUGCUAAUAUCUUUUUCUGAUAGUGAUAAGAUAUUCCAGGCUCAUCUUAGAAAGUUUUUUGUUUUGUUUUGUUCUUGCCUCAAACCUGGAAUCAGCUAUUUCUCCUAGAAGCUCAUUUCUUUUAGUGGGAAAUGUUAUUUAGAAACUAUACUCUGGUCCCUUGGGUAUGCAUAUUCUUACUGGAUAGGUCAUUGUUUUUAGAUCUUUUUAGUGUACAGAACUAGGAAAUGUAUUGCUGUUGUCUUAAAGAUAAAAUGCAUAAGGACUCCAUUUUGAGUUUUCAAUUCAAAUUCAAGAUUACAUAGCUUUCACUUAAAAUCAUGCAUUUGUGUUUUCAUUCAUGCAUGUGAAAAAUCCUGACACCAGCAUUAAAGAUUCUUAAACUGGGAUACAUCAUACACACAGUGAUGUAGUUUCUGGAAGAUAAAGCUUGGUAUCUACUUUUUUAACAAGUUCCACAGGUGAUUCUGAUACUUACCAAAGGAUGAGAACCACUGAUCUAUUUUUUAUGAACAAUUUUAUGUUAUAGAUUUUAAACAAAACCUCCCAUUUUCUUCUUAGAAUCCUCCCUUUUUUCUUGAUUGUCCAUCCACAUUGGUUUUUUUUUUUUUUUUUUUUUUUUUUUUUUUUUGACACAGUGGGCACUCUGUCGCCCAGGCUGGAAUGCCAUGGCAUGAUCUCAGUUACUGCAGCCUCCACCUUCAGGUUCACACAGUUCUCAUGCUUCAGCGUCCCGAGUAGCUGGGGCUACAGGUGUGUACUACCACACCCAGCUAAUUUUUGUAUUUUUAGAAGAGAUGGGGUUUCGCCAUGUUGGCCAGGCUGGUCUAGAACUCCUGACCUCAAGUAAUCCACCCUCCUCAGCCUCUCAAAGUGCUAGGAUUACAGGUGUGAGCCAAUGUGCCUGGCCAAGAUUGACCAUAUUCUUGAUGAGCCACCUGUGUAGAAUCCGAAUUAUUUUCUUGUUUAACUCAUAUUGCUCUGUGCAUCUGAUAGAAAAGACUACAGUUAUUUCACUUCUGUGAAAGCCAAGCUGCAGUUAUCUUUGACCACUUGGAAAGCUAAAAUACAGGUGAACCCUCAGAACUAAGGCUCUGCCUGAGGCCAGAGACAGAAUCCUCCCUCAUUGCUUUGAGCAGAAUGCCUGGUACUGGAGCGGAUUUGCUUAAGGGCAACUCUGCAUUUGAUAAAAUAUCAGAGCAAUUUACGUCCUUGUACGCUUGUUCCCUUUCUUUCCUCUUAUGCAGAAAUGUUAAUUGACAAUCAAAGAAGUAACAAGGGCACAUCUUUACUACUUCUGCAGAUCUAGGCCUGGUUUGGGUUAUGCCUUCUUUCAUCCAUGCUCAUCUGAGAGUUCCAGUGUUUUCCUUGUUCUUGUUUCUGCAUUCAGAGUUCUAAAAUUUGACUCUGGUUGGUCAUUUUAUCACUUUUCUCUUAGAAUAGAUUAUAGAUCUAUAUCAGAACAUUUAAUUUUUAAUUGAUUUGUAUUGAUAAUAGGUGAAAAAGAAGUUAAUUAGCCUGGAAAUGACUACAUCUUAAGGUCAGAUUUUGGUUAAAAAUAUAAUCACAUUAAUUUUGAGAAUCUUUGAAGUUUAUUUAAUGUUAGCUAUGUUUUAUGUUAAAUUUGCAAACUUUCACAUUAUUAUCAAUGUUCUUGAGAGGGAGGCAAAGAUAUUCUCAAUUUAUGAUGCAAAAUGGAACUUUAGUUCAAUUAUUUGACCUCUGUGAUUUAGGUCACACAUCUUGUAAGUGGGGAAGCAACUACUCAGUCCGAUUCCAGGUAUUUUUUCUGCCUGGAGGCUGGAACGUCCAAGAUCAAGGCAUUGGAAAGGUUGGUUUGAUUCUGAGACUCUUCUCUUGGCUUAUAGACAGCCAGCAUUUCUCUGUGUGUUUAGAUGACCUCUUCUUUGGAAAUGCAUAUGUGAGGGGGGAAGACAAAGCAAGCUCUCUGAUGGCUCUUUUUUUAAGGACACUAAUGCCAUCAUGAGGGCCUCACUCUCAUGACCUCAUCUAACCCCAAUUUCCUGAAAAGGGCCUGACUCCAAAUACCCACUCAUCAGGGCUUAGGAUUUCAACAUGAAUUUUGUGGGGAUACAAACAUUCGGUCUAUAACAACAGCCAUGAGUUAUAGUGUUUUGUGAACCUGAAUCUUCUUAUAACUUGUACUGUAUGUGGCUAAGGACCAGAGCCAUGCAUCUACUCUGAUCUCUUUCUUAUUACCCCUUUAGGCAGUUCUGCGGUACUAUAAGGAACACUUACCCGUCAAUAGAUUAGAUGACUAGAACCCUACGUGUACUUGUCUGGAAAGAGAAUUUUUGUUCCUGUAAUUCUUUUUGAAGUGUCAAGAACUUAUUUAGUUUCACUGGAUUAAAGAGAGCAAAAUUAUCAGCUUGAAUCAGGAGCAACUUGAAGGAAGAGAUCAGGGCUAUGAAGCCUGUUGGGAGAUCUGCAUUUAUAAGGAGAUGGUUUCAGCAAGGAUAAGUCAUAUCUUAACAUCUUAGUCUUAAAGGACAGAUUUGUUGCAAAGAAAAUGGAAAUGGAAGGAAAAAGUGCUAAGUCUUUUUUUCGUGGCAACAUUUCAGAAUUAUGUAUUGUAGCUCAAAUUUUGCUUUUGCUUCUCCCUUCAGUUAAUAUUAGAAUUAGAAGCCUUAUCAGACACAGUGUUGUUAUUUCUGCCUAACCAAAGCUGUGGACAGGUGAAACCUGUAAAGAUAUUAAUGAAAUGAGAAAUUUCAUGUAAAUGAGGUGGUUGAAUUUUAUUUUUGUUGUUAAUGUUAGGUGAUUGCAAAAUCUGCUUAUUUUGUUAUAGAGAUUCCAGGAUGCCAAUAUACCCUUAAAUUUGUUCAGAAUUUUAUGUGGGAUUAUAAUUUUCUAUUUUAAUUUACUUUAUAACUUGUUAGCUAUUCUUUCUCUAAACAUCUGAGAGAUAUUUUUCUUCCCAGCUUUAAAAUUUAAUUGAAAAAUAAAACUGUGACUAUGUUUUGUUAAGUUAAACAAUACAUCUCUGCCAGGCUUCUUAAGGCAAAUAGGAUUAUAAAAUCUUACAGGCCCAGUUCAUAUUACUCGCUCUGAACAAUGAACUAACCACUCCCAUAGAAUCCUAGGAGAGUUUAAAAAUGAAAUUACAGCUUUCUUAAUGUUUCUCACAUUUGCCCAAAGGUUUAAAAGAUGGUGCCAUAAGAAAUACAUGAAGGUGACCUUGGAAAUAUAUCCAAAGAAGGUGCCGUGGAAAUUAUCUUUCUUUUAGUGGCCUCUUUGCAGUGAGAUAGGGUUAUUAGGGGCAUUUUAUUUUUCUGUACCUAGUAAAAUCUGUUGCUUACAAUGAUUCCCUGAUGCCUUGGGUAAGGAAAAGAGGCUUCCCUUUGUAGGAUUCAUCUAACAAGUUGUUAUUGCUUACCUAAUUUUUUUUUUUAAGUUUUUUUUCACUCUGCUAGGCACUGGGGAGCUGUAAUGACUAAGAGGACCUCUUCUCCUCUAGAACUGCACUACUAAAUCAAAGAGUCACUAGCCACCUUGGCUAUUUCAAUUUAAGGUUAAUUAAAAAUUCAGUUCCUUAGUAGUACAAGACACAUUACAAGUGCUCAAUAGCCAUAUGUGACUAUAUUGGACAGCAUAUAUAUAGAACAUUCCUGAUAUUGCAGAAACUUCUGUUGGAUAGUACUGUACUAGAAGUUAUUAUUCAGAUUUAUUUACAAUAUAUGGUUGUUGUAGUAGUGGUUUUUAGUCUUAGAGUCAUGUUAACCUAGAGAUGGAUAGGCAAACAAAAAUAUGCUACAAAGAAAAUUAUUAUGGGCUAUUCAGGUGUUCUUGUUACUGUAUGUGCCCCUAAUAUUAGGAUUUUCUCCACAGAACAUUAUCACUCAAAAAAGAAGUCAUUAUAUAUAUUCAGGUUCUUACAAAGGCUCUAAUAUUACCAACUAAUCUUUCAAUUACAGUACUUUAUUUUGAACAUCAAAAUGGCUUUCAUGAAUGUUUGCUUAUGAUUCUUGAAGAAGUUACUGGUAAAAUCAGAUUUAAAAAGAAGAAAGAAAGAAAUUUAACACAAAUUUAGUAAUUUGGGCAUGACCUCACAACUACAAGUGUUGGGCAUUAUUGUAAACAACCCUUUUUAAGAGCAGAUAAAGCAACACCACAAGUGUCAUUGCUAUGAAGAUCACAGUUAUGUGCCUGCAGGAUGUUUGACAAACUGUCCUGCUAUUUAGCAAAUUGGUACUUGUGGUAACUGUGUCAUACAUGAAUUUUAAAAAGUGUUAUACCUCAAACAAUCUAGAAGGAAAGAUGAUUUGCUCAGGAAAGUAAAAAAA